rnacentral:misc_RNA from 1 species
GAAAUGCGAUAAGUAGUGUGAAUUGCAGAAUUCAGUGAAUCAUCGAAUCUUUGAACGCACAUUGCGCCCUUUGGUAUUCCAAAGGGCAUGCCUGUUCGAGCGUCAUUUGUACCCUCAAGCUUUGCUUGGUGUUGGGCGUUUUGUCUCCCUGAGACUCGCCUUAAAACGAUUGGCAGCCGGCAUACUGGUUCCGGAGCGCAGCACAAAUUGCGCUUCUUCCAUGAAUGCCCGCGUCCAUGAAGCCUACAAAUUUAACUUUUGACCUCGGAUCAGGUAGGGAUACCCGCUGAACUUAA